AUGGCCUUUGCGCCCUCCGAGCAUGACAUCGUCUCUCGCCUUGCGUCCUCGGCUGCCAAGCGUUCAGCGUCGCGAAGAGGAAGGGGGAGACAGGGUUGCUCUCUCUUGCCUUCCCCUCGGUGUAUUUGUUUGCGGGGGCUCUGGUUGCUUUCCCCCUUUUGGCAAAGGAGAGCGAUGCAACCCGGCAGAUACCUUGGGAGCGAGGAGGGUAUUUUGGGGAGUUGCAGUGUUGUGCGGAAGAUCAUGUCUGUGCCCUGUGGUGCUGUCAGCAGUGACAGAUCCCAGAUGCCGUCGCUACUGUAUGGCAGAUUGAGUUUCUCAGCAGAAAACUCUCUCCCUCCCUCCCAAACGUCUUCAAAAACCUUCUCCAGAUACUGCGGGUCACUUCGGCUCAAACGGGGAGAGAAAGGGGGGAAAAAAGGCUUUUCCUCUCUCCUCCCUCUCUCUUCCUCCCGCCGGAUUUCUCUGGGGUGCGCGGGGGACCAUGGCAGGGCCCUUGUGCACCCGGGGGGCUGGGGGGACUCCUCUCACCCCCGUCCUGCUGAGAGCCCGUCGCCGAGCACGGGGACCGUAGUCCAGAAAGAGCCUGUCAUUUUAUCUCGGGGUUUCUCGGAACCGCUGAGCGAGCCAGACUCUGCGGCCGCUCCCGCCCUGCACGGCGGAACAGCCGCGGCCGGUGCCUUUCCCUUCCGCUGGCCAAGUGCAUCACUCGGGACGCGGGUCCGGGAGUGCUUGAGGAAGAUUUGUACUUAUUUUUUCCCAGAGAAGGCUUUUCCUUGCUGUGUCUUUUGCCUAAGCCAGGCCCACAAGUGGAUCAAACCAGUCCUGCACUGUUGCAUUUAGUCCAUAGCAAAACUCCCUUUGAGGAAGAUUCUGCAGAUUUAAGGACUGAGGAGUUAGGACUGGGAGCUAAGGAAAGGACAUGAAUGACUUCCUUCACAGCUGGUUUUAAAAAGCCAUCUGCUUUCUACAGUCAAGCCAAAACUAAGGGGAGAUGAUCUGAGGUUUAGAAACAUGCAGGAUAAUUUUCACACCAAAUAAGAAAAAUGAGAAAUUAUCUUAACAUAUUGUAACUUGUCAUAAAAAUACAUGUUUCUUUCCAGCUUUAAAAGAGGACUUUAUAAAAUCUACUGUCUUUGAUUUGUUAAGUCGAUUUUAUAUUGAUUUUUUAAUUCAUCUGUUUUUAAGAAAGCGGAAUGAAACACUCGAUGUUUCUAUUAUUUUGAUUGGUGCUUCAUUGUAUAAGAAUUUGGUUAUUGAAACAUACACUAAAUAUUGCACUGUAAAUUGUGUUGUAACUUAUGCAAUACCUUUUGGUAUUAAUAGAAAAAAAUCAAGAUUGCAAAAAUGGUAUUUAAUUUUUUAUUUUAUUUAGUUUAAUAAAAAACUCACUUGACUGC
rnacentral:lncRNA from 1 species